CGCGUCCAUCUCCAUGGACGCUAGACUGGGCCAACGCCUGCAGGGUGCUGCCAUUGCUCUGCUCUGUAAAGCUGGUUCCUGUUGAGGCCACCAGGACAUCUGACCCGCUCAGACUGCCAGGAGCUUCCGGCGCUGGCAAUGUCCCAAAUAUUAAAAACAACAGUAGACAAUAGCGCACCAGAUUCUGAUGAGUCCUUAUUUUAUGAAGAAUACCAGGGGUUGGGUUCUGUUUAUCUCUACUAUCUGCCUGCGCCAACAGUUUGAAUGAACAGGACCCUGAGCCAGCCACAUGAGGAGAGAGAGGAGACAAGGAGACCAACAGGCCGGGAAGAUGUCUCUAUUCUAAAUGAGUCUUGAAGUGGAAACUUCUGGUUUCCUUGGAAAGUUAUGCCAAAUGAUGUUUUGCUGGGGUACAAAGGUGAAAGGAUAUCUCGCUAAAGCAAACACGUGAAAGACUGUUUUCCUGAAGCAGACACAGGUGAAAGGGUAUUUGGAUAGAGCAAAGCCAUGAAAGGACCUGUGAUGAAGGAGUAUAAAUAUGACCCCCCUGACAGUGGGAGACAAGCACAGAGCACUGGUUUGAUUUGCUCCACCUCGAUAUUCUUCUUUAACAACACUCAUGUAUUGGUUCGCCUUACAUUGAGUUCAACUUGUGAUAACUCUGGCACUGGGAGAAACUCAACAAAGAACUGCUCAUAAGGUUCCUAUGGCAGCUUGCUGCUUCUGAGCCCUCUCCUCAGGCCGGUUGGCAAGCCUAGCAGCUUCUCCAGGAUUGAACUACAGUUGCUGCUUCGUGGUUGGUGUCUGCCUAGAGGACUGGUCUGAAGCUGCUGUGUUGUAUUUGGUAUUUGCUAUGGGACUGCUCUGCUGCAAAAGAAGAUCAAGGCUCACCCACCAAAGAACUAUUGCUAAACAGGUCCAGUUCCCCCAUCCUAAUAGCUUGUCUCUUCUACUACCUCUGCUGGGUGGUGGGCUAGAGGAGAGGUUGAACCCUUCUUAAAAGUAGGUUGCAAAAAAUUUACGCUACAAAAUUCAUGUUCCUAGCUAUGCCUAUUUUACCUUGUAAGGAACUGCAUUUGAAUGCAUAUUAUACUGCAUCAUACUAUACUACACAGAGCUAUAUAGGCCAUCACAAGCCUCUUGAGGCUAGACACUUUAGAUGGUUUUUCCUCGUUGUGUUACUUCUCUGGAAUAGUAUUUGAAGGCUUGCUGAAAGAAUCAAAUGAAUCCGUUUUGAGUGCAUUGCUUUACAUUCAAAUACCUUCUACGAAUGUAAAGGCUUUUAGUUGUAUAAAAAUCAAAUCAUUAAUACU
ensembl:processed_transcript